rnacentral:rRNA from 1 species
AUUCCUACGGGAGGCAGCAGUAGGGAAUCUCCACAAUGGACGAAAGUCUGAUGGAGCAACGCCGCGUGAGUGAUGAAGGUCGUAAGGUCGUAAAACUCUUUUCAGGGACAUUAAAGCUCCGGCUCUAACAGAGCCUGGAGUCUGACUCUCCCUGGAAUAAGCCCCAGCCAACUACGUGCCAGCAGCUGCGGUAAUACGUAGGGGGCGAGCGUUAUUCGGAAUUACUGGGUGUAAAGGGUAUGUAGGCGGCCUCAUAAGUCGCGUGUCAAAGUCCAGUGCUUAACGCUGGGUCCGCACGUGAUACUGUGUGGCUAGAGGGCUGGAGAGGUGAGCGGAAUUCCCGGUGUAGUGGUAAAAUACGUAGAUAUCGGGAGGAACACCAGCGGCGUAGGCGGCUCACUAGACAGUUUCUGACGCUAAGAUACGAAAGCGUGGGGAGCAAACAGGAUUAGAUACCCUGGUAGUCCACGCCCUAAACGAUGGAUACUUGGUGUUGGGGGGUUGCCCUCAGUGCCGGAGCUAACGCGUUAAGUAUCCCACCUGGGGACUACGGCCGCAAGGCUAAAACUCAAAGGAAUUGACGUGGGCCCGCACAAGCAGCGAGGUAUGUGGUUUAAUUCGAAGCAACGCGAAGAACCUUACCAGGCCUUGACAUCCAAUGAACUUUCCAGAGAUGGAUUGGUGCCUUCGGGAACAUUGAGACAGGUGCUGCAUGGCUGUCGUCAGCUCGUGUCAUGAGAUGUUGGGUUAAGUCCCGCAACGAGCGCAACCCUUGUCAUUAGUUGCUACGAAAGAGCACUCUAACGAGACUGCCGGUGACAAACCGGAGGAAGGUGGGGAUGACGUCAAGUCCUCAUGGCCCUUAUGGGUAGGGCUUCACACGUCAUACAAUGGUACAUACAGAGGGCCGCCAACCCGCGAGGGGGAGCUAAUCCCAGAAAGUGUAUCGUAGUCCGGAUUCUAGUCUGCAACUCGACUACAUGAAGUUGGAAUCGCUAGUAAUCGCGGAUCAGCAUGUCGCGGUGAAUACGUUCCCGGGCCUUGUACACACCGCCAUCCAUAUUUCUAGU